CCCACGCCGGCGUCGGCGGGCGUAUUUCGCCUCACAGUAGGUCGCCGCGACCCGUUGCUUUUGGGGACGUCGAAGGCCCGGACGGAUUGGUACCCUACCGGCUGGGGAUGCGGCUUCGGCUUCUCCUCUUGUCCGGUGGGCGAAACCGCCGGUGUCCUGGCUGCCCUGCGACGGUCGUAGAGACGAGCCCUCCCCUUCGGGGGGGCGGCUCUCGCGGCGUGCAAAAGGUCGGUGAUCCACCCGACCCGUCUUGAAACACGGACCAAGGAGUCUAACAUGUGUGCGAGUCAGUGGGCGCACUAAACCCAGAGGCGUAAUGAAAGUGACACGGGUUCGGCUGUCGCCUCGUGUGGCAGCCGGACUCAGGGCCGAUCCCUCACCGGUUGCCCUCGCCUCUCUCCCGCGUCUCGGUAAGCCGGGUGAGCUAUUUUCCCCGGCCGCUGCUGCGGGGCGCGGGGGGAGGCGGGGUGCGAUGGUGUCCGUAAAAAAGAGCCUGCUGUUGCAGGGGGGCGCAGGCCCGGGACUUGCCAGGACGCCGCGAGACUGUCACUUUGCUGUGAGGCUCUCGGGCCGAUCAGCGGGUCAUGCGUGCAGUCGGCAAGUACCAUGAGCAGACAUGUUGGGACCCGAAAGAUGGUGAACUAUGCCUGGCCAGGAUGAAGCCAGAGGAAACUCU
rnacentral:rRNA from 1 species